UCCCUCAGACCUGCCCUGCCCAGCAAGGAGGUAGCCUAGUCACUGUCGGCCUAUAGCUGCUUUGUUGAGCUGCUGUGGGCUCCGCCCCGCUGCCCAGUGAACUUCCCUUCAGUCCUGUUUAUAUGGGUGUAGUUAGAACUGCUUUGGCGAUGGUGGCCCGCCUCUGUUGAGGCAGAGUCUCUCUGCUGUGGUGGGUUGCCUUGGCAACAGCGGGCUGCCUCAGCAAUGGCAGGUUGCCUAGGCAACGGCGGGCUGCCUCAGCAAUGGCGGGUUGCCAUGGCAACGGCGUGCUGCCUCAGCAUUGCCCGACUACCUCCGUCCUGGCGGGCUGCCUCGGUAAUGGCG